GAGGGUUGCAAGAACUGAAGUGCUUGAAAAUGUCUUGAGAAAUAAAUAGAGAGAGAAAGGGAGAGCGAGAGAGAGCGAGGAAAGAGAGUCGAUCAAAGCCCUGAAAAUUGACAAGAUGGAAACUUUUGUGCAUGCGACGGCGCAUAAUUACCAGGAACAAACUUUGCAGCGGCAGCGGCCGCGGCAGCAACAGCAACAGCAACUAAACUUGAAAAAUGUUGUGCGUACACAGCGAAAGUUGUGUUCGCUGCCUUCUUUUCUACUGCUUUCAUUUUAUGCUUGUGUAUAUUCAAACGCGUGCGCGCUCUUUAAGAUGUUGCCGCCAAAGAAGCAUUCGCAAAGAAAACGAAAUAUAUGGAAACCACAAGAACAUGGCAACUAACCCUCAAAACUUUCGCUAUUUUUCAAUUUUGUGUUAACUUUAAGGAAAAAGAAAAUUCUCAAGUGCUCGAAACUUCGCAUGACGGCCGGGGUUUUGUGCGUGUGUGUGUGUGUGUGGCAGGGUCAGUGUGCAACCCUCAGAAAUGGCAAAUAAAAAUUAAGAGUGCCAGCCAAAGCAAAGCAUCCCAUUUACGACUCUCCAACGUGCACUAAAAGCACAAGUAUCCAAAACGAAAAGCAAAAAAAAAAAAACAAAAAAAUGAAAGAAAUAGCUGAGAAAUUUUUAAAUUAUAUUAACACAAAUUGAGGGCAAGUGGAGUGUGGCAAGCUGGCAAUGUUUGCCCCGUAAAGUGCCCAUUACUGCAACCAAAUAAUAAAUAAUCAAACUACCACAGAAGCGACAAAAGGCAAACACGAACAACAAGUCAAAAGCUGACCACGUCGACUUCAAGCGGUUUAACAAUCAGUAUUGAAAACAGUUCCCCUUUCAACUUUGGCCAAUUAAAGUCGUUACCAACUGCUCCCCAUUCAGACUCCUAGAUUUGCUGUAAUGCGAAACUUGUAAUGUAUACGCAGCGUUGUCGCGAACAUCACAAAAAUUUUCAUUUGAUAAAAAAAAAGUUGCUGUUGUUGUUGA